rfam:Danio rerio chromosome 12, GRCz11 reference primary assembly.
GGCUCUGUGGGACAAUGGAUAGCGCAUUGGACUUCUAGGCUGUGAGCUAAGUGAUUCAAAAGUUGUGGGUUCGAGUCCCAUCAGAGUCG